AUUGAACGCUGGCGGAAUGCUUUACACAUGCAAGUCGAACGGCAGCACGGACUUCGGUCUGGUGGCGAGUGGCGAACGGGUGAGUAACAUAUCGGAACGUAUCCAAUAAUGGGGGAUAACGAGUCGAAAGAUUCGCUAAUACCGCAUACGCCCUACGGGGGAAAGCUGGGGACCUUCGGGCCUGGCGUUAAUGGAGCGGCCGAUAUCUGAUUAGCUAGUUGGUGAGGUAAAGGCUCACCAAGGCGACGAUCAGUAGCUGGUCUGAGAGGACGACAAGCCACACUGGAACUGAGACACGGUCCAGACUCCUACGGGAGGCAGCGGUGGGGAAUUUUGGACAAUGGGCGCAAGCCUGAUCCAGCCAUUCCGCGUGAGUGAAGAAGGCCUUCGGGUUGUAAAGCUCUUUCGCAAGGGAAGAAAACUUAGCCACUAACAUUGGUUGAGGUUGACGGUACCUUGAUAAGAAGCACCGGCUAACUACGUGCCAGCCGCCGCGGUAA
rnacentral:rRNA from 1 species